UACGUGUGAGCUUUAGCGCGAGCUUUUGACGCUCGAGAAAUCUGAGAAAUCAGGUACACGUAA
rnacentral:tRNA from 1 species